rnacentral:rRNA from 1 species
GCUUGUCUCAAAGAUUAAGCCAUGCAUGUGUAAGUAUCAGAAGUCUGAACUUCAAAACUGCGAAUGGCUCAUUAUAUCAGUUAUAGUUUAUUUGAUGGUACCUACUACUCGGAUAACCGUAGUAAUUCUAGAGCUAAUACGUGCGUAAAUCCCGACUCCUGGAAGGGACGUAUUUAUUAGAUUUAAGGCCAACCGAGCUUGCUCGUCUCUUGGUGAAUCAUGAUAACUUCACGAAUCGCAUGGCCUCGCGCCGGCGAUAUUUCAUUCAAAUUUCUGCCCUAUCAAUUGGCGAUGGUAGGAUAGAGGCCUACCAUGGUGUUAACGGGUGACGGGGGAUUAGGGUUCGAUUCCGGAGAGGCAGCCUGAGAAACGGCUACCACAUCCAAGGAAGGCAGCAGG